CCGAAGCAAACUUUUUUUCAUACUUUUUUCCCUAAAAUAAAUUUUUCUAGCAAAUACCUCUCCAAGUCAACAAAUUUAUUUCUUUAGACAAAAAUCUCUUUUCGUAUAUAAGAAAUUAUUUUGGCCAGAUUUGACGUGGACUGUCAGACCCGAGUAGCAAUUGCCGGACUGCACCAUUGAAUUGUCAAACCCUGCAUUUAUGCGGGACCAAAUUUUGAAUUGCCAGACCCCUUCUUCCAAAAACCUGAGUGUCGGACGGCACUUUUCAACCGCCGGACCCCUUGUUGCAAAUGCCGGAGC
rnacentral:lncRNA from 1 species